UGGGGAAUUUUGGACAAUGGGCGAAAGCCUGAUCCAGCAAUGCCGCGUGUGUGAAGAAGGCCUUCGGGUUGUAAAGCACUUUUGUCCGGAAAGAAAUCCUUGGCUCUAAUACAGUCGGGGGAUGACGGCACCGGAAGAAUAAGCACCGGCUAACUACGUGCCAGCAGCCGCGGUAAUACGUAGGGUGCAAGCGUUAAUCGGAAUUACUGGGCGUAAAGCGUGCGCAGGCGGUUUGCUAAGACCGAUGUGAAAUCCCCGGGCUCAACCUGGGAACUGCAUUGGUGACUGGCAGGCUAGAGUAUGGCAGAGGGGGGUAGAAUUCCACGUGUAGCAGUGAAAUGCGUAGAGAUGUGGAGGAAUACCGAUGGCGAAGGCAGCCCCCUGGGCCAAUACUGACGCUCAUGCACGAAAGCGUGGGGAGCAAACAGGAUUAGAUACCCUGGUAGUCCACGCCCUAAACGAUGUCAACUAGUUGUUGGGGAUUCAUUUCCUUAGUAACGUAGCUAACGCGUGAAGUUGACCGCCUGGGGAGUACGGUCGCAAGAUUAAAACUCAAAUGAAUUGACGGGGUCAUAGCUGUUUCCU
rnacentral:rRNA from 1 species